rnacentral:rRNA from 1 species
UACGGAGGGGGCUAGCGUUGUUCGGAAUUACUGGGCGUAAAGCGCACGUAGGCGGCCUUGUAAGUUAGAGGUGAAAGCCCGGGGCUCAACCCCGGAAUUGCCUUUAAGACUGCAUCGCUAGAAUUGUGGAGAGGUAAGUGGAAUUCCGAGUGUAGAGGUGAAAUUCGUAGAUAUUCGGAAGAACACCAGUGGCGAAGGCGACUUACUGGACACAUAUUGACGCUGAGGUGCGAAAGCGUGGGGAGCAAACAGG